UGAAUUUCGGGAUUAUAGGGCCGGUCGUGCCUUGGUAUGUACUCAUUUCAUUGUGACAUACCUUCUAAAGAACCAUGAUGUCAUUCAUUUGAUGUUAUGGGGAAUUAGGACUGUUACCUUGAAAAAAUUAGAGUGUUUAAAGCAAGCUUACGCUUGAAUACAUUAGCAUGGAAUAAUGAAAUAGGACAUCAGAUUCUAUUUUGUUGGUUUCUAGGAUCGAUGUAAUGAUUAAUAGGGAUAGUUGGGGGCAUUAGUAUUCAAUUGUCAGAGGUGAAAUUCUUGGAUUUAUUGAAGACUAACUACUGCGAAAGCAUUGGCCAAGGAUGUUUUCAUUAAUCAAGAACGAAAGUUAGGGGAUCGAAGACGAUCAGAUACC
rnacentral:rRNA from 1 species